rnacentral:rRNA from 1 species
GACGAACGCUGGCGGCGUGCUUAACACAUGCAAGUCGAACGAUGAACCCGGAGCUUGCUCUGGGGGAUUAGUGGCGAACGGGUGAGUAACACGUGAGUAACCUGCCCUGGACUCUGGGAUAAGCGUUGGAAACGACGUCUAAUACCGGAUAGGACCUUGGAUCGCAUGAUCUGGGGUGGAAAGUUUUUUCGGUCUGGGAUGGACUCGCGGCCUAUCAGCUUGUUGGUGAGGUAAUGGCUCACCAAGGCGUCGACGGGUAGCCGGCCUGAGAGGGUGACCGGCCACACUGGGACUGAGACACGGCCCAGACUCCUACGGGAGGCAGCAGUAGGGAAUAUUGCACAAUGGGCGAAAGCCUGAUGCAGCAACGCCGCGUGCGGGAUGACGGCCUUCGGGUUGUAAACCGCUUUUAGUAGGGAAGAAGGGCUUCGGCUUGACGGUACCUGCAGAAAAAGGACCGGCUAACUACGUG